rnacentral:rRNA from 1 species
CGCGUGCAGGAAGACGCAUCUAGGUGUGUAAACUGCUUUUAUGUGGGAAAAACUUGCGAUGGUACCACAUGAAUAAGGGGCUGCUAACUUCGUGCCAGCAGCAGCGGUAAUACGAAGGCCCCGAGCGUUAUCCGGAUUUACUGGGCGUAAAGAGCUAAAAGGCUGUUUUGUAAGUCGAGUGUUAAAGCCCGGAGCUCAACUCCGGAUCUGCAUUCGAAACUACAAAGCUAGAGGACGGAAGAGGUAAGCGGAAUUGCUGGUGUAGCAGUAAAAUGCGUUAAUAUCAGCAGGAACACCGAUUGCGAAGGCUGCUUACUAGGACGCUCCUGACGCUAAAUAGCGAAAGUGUGGGUAGCGAAUGGGAUUAGAUACCCCAGUAGUCCACACCGUAAACGCUGGAUACUAGGUAUCGGGGGAUUCGACCCCCCCGGUAUCGUUAAGCUAACGCGUUAAGUAUCCCGCCUGGGGAGUACGACCGCAAGGUUAAAACUCAAAGGAAUUGACGGGGACCCGCACAAGCGGUGGAGCAUGUGGUUUAAUUCGACGCUAAGCGAGGAACCUUACCAAGGCUUGACAUCUCGAGAAAGCCUCCGAAAGGAGGCUGUGCCUUCGGGAACUCGAUGACAGGUGAUGCAUGGUUGUCGUCAGCUCGUGCUGUGAAGUGUACCCUUAAGUGGGGUAACGAGCGCAACCCUCACGUUAUGUUAAAUGUUCAUAACGGACUGCCGGGGAUAACCCGGAGGAAGGUGGGGAUGACGUCAAAUCAGCAUGUCCCUUAUGCCUUGGGCGACACACGUGCUACAAUGGGAAUGACAAUGGGCCGCCAAGUCGCAAGACGGAGCUAAUCCCACCAAACAUUCCCCCAGUUCGGAUUGCAGGCUGCAACUCGCCUGCAUGAAGUCGGAAUCGCUAGUAACCGCGUAUCAGCCAUGGCGCGGUGAAUACGUUCUCGGGUCUUGUACACACCGCCCGUCACAUCAGGGAAGCCGGUAAUGCCCGAAGGUCUCCAAGUAAUGGAGGACGAAGGUAGGACUGGUGACAAGGAUGAAGUCGUAACAAGGCACCCGUAGCGGAAGCUGUGGGUGGAUCACCUCCUUUCU